rnacentral:rRNA from 1 species
AGUCGACGAGAGGACAUGGGAAGCUUGCUUCCUAUGAAAUCGAGUGGCAAACGGGUGAGUAACGCGUAAACAACCUGCCCUUCGGAUGGGGAUAACAGCCGGAAACGGCUGCUAAUACCGAAUACGAUCUUUUCGUCGCAUGACGGAAAGAAGAAAGGAUGGCCUCUAUACAAAGCUAUCGCCGAAGGAGGGGUUUGCGUCUGAUUAGCUGGUUGGAGGGGCAACGGCCCAACAAGGCGAUGAUCAGUAGCCGGUCUGAGAGGAUGAACGGCCACAUUGGGACUGAGACACGGCCCAGACUCCUACGGGAGGCAGCAGUGGGGAAUCUUCCGCAAUGGACGAAAGUCUGACGGAGCAACGCCGCGUGAGUGAAGAAGGUCUUCGGAUUGUAAAGCUCUGUUAUACGGGACGAAAAAGACGGAUGCCAACAGUAUCCGUCCGUGACGGUACUGUAAGAGAAAGCCACGGCUAACUACGUGCCAGCAGCCGCGGUAAUACGUAGGUGGCAAGCGUUGUCCGGAAUUAUUGGGCGUAAAGGGCGCGCAGGCGGUUCGGUAAGUCUGUCUUAAAAGUGCGGGGCUUAACCCCGUGAGGGGACGGAAACUGUCGAACUUGAGUGUCGGAGAGGAAAGCGGAAUUCCUAAUGUAGCGGUGAAAUGCGUAGAUA